CCUACGGGGGGCAGCAGUGGGGAAUAUUGCACAAUGGGCGAAAGCCUGAUGCAGCAACGCCGCGUGAGCGAUGAAGGUCUUCGGGUCGUAAAGCUCUGUCCUAAGGGAAGAAUACUGACGGUACCUUAGGAGGAAGCCCCGGCUAACUACGUGCCAGCAGCCGCGGUAAUACGUAGGGGGCUAGCGUUAUCCGGAAUUACUGGGCGUAAAGGGUGCGUAGGCGGCCCUUCAAGUCAGAGGUGAAAGGCUACGGCUCAACCGUAGUAAGCCGUUGAAACUGUAGGGCGUGAGUGCAGGAGAGGAGAGUGGAAGUCCGAGUGUAGCGGUGAAAUGCGUAGAUAUUGGGAGGUACAGCAGUGGCGAAGGCGGCUCUCUGUACUGUAACUGACGCUGAGGGACGAAAGCGUGGGGGGCGAACAGGAUUAGAUACCCCAGUAGUC
rnacentral:rRNA from 1 species